GACGUAGGGUGCGAGCGUUGUCCGGAUUUAUUGGGCGUAAAGAGCUCGUAGGCGGCUCGUCGCGUCGACCGUGAAAACCCGCGGCUUAACUGCGGGCUUGCGGUUGAUACGGGCGGGCUAGAGUUCGGUAGGGGAGACUGGAAUUCCUGGUGUAGCGGUGAAAUGCGCAGAUAUCAGGAGGAACACCGGUGGCGAAGGCGGGUCUCUGGGCCGAUAUUGACGCUGAUGCGCGAAAGCCAGGGGAGCAAACGGG
rnacentral:rRNA from 1 species